rnacentral:snRNA from 1 species
GGCUUAGGUACAAAGGGCAUUUGAUAAAAUUGGAAUGAUACAGAGAAGAUUAGCAUGACCCCUACACAAGGUCCACCCAAAGAGGACAUUACAUAAGUUA